rnacentral:rRNA from 1 species
UACGGGGGAGCAAGCGUUGUUCGGAUUUACUGGGCGUAAAGGGCGCGUAGGCGGCCACCGCAAGUCGACUGUGAAAUCUCCGGGCUUAACCCGGAAAGGUCAGCCGAUACUGCGGGGCUAGAGUGCAGAAGGGGCAACUGGAAUUCUCGGUGUAGCGGUGAAAUGCGUAGAUAUCGAGAGGAACACCUGCGGCGAAGGCGGGUUGCUGGGCCGACACUGACACUGAGAGACAAAAGCUAGGGGAGCAAAUGGG